rnacentral:rRNA from 1 species
AUUGAACGCUGGCGGCAUGCCUUACACAUGCAAGUCGAACGGUAACAGGUCUUCGGAUGCUGACGAGUGGCGAACGGGUGAGUAAUACAUCGGAACGUGCCCAGACGUGGGGGAUAACGAGGCGAAAGCUUUGCUAAUACCGCAUACGAUCUAAGGAUGAAAGCAGGGGACCGUAAGGCCUUGUGCGUUUGGAGCGGCCGAUGGCAGAUUAGGUAGUUGGUGGGAUAAAAGCUUACCAAGCCGACGAUCUGUAGCUGGUCUGAGAGGACGACCAGCCACACUGGGACUGAGACACGGCCCAGACUCCUACGGGAGGCAGCAGUGGGGAAUUUUGGACAAUGGGCGAAAGCCUGAUCCAGCAAUGCCGCGUGCAGGAUGAAGGCCUUCGGGUUGUAAACUGCUUUUGUACGGAACGAAAAGGCUCUGGCUAAUACCUGGGGCACAUGACGGUACCGUAAGAAUAAGCACCGGCUAACUACGUG